GACGAACGCUGGCGGCGUGCUUAACACAUGCAAGUCGAGCGGUAAGGCCCUUUCGGGGGUACACGAGCGGCGAACGGGUGAGUAACACGUGGGUGACCUGCCCUCAGCUCUGGGAUAAGCCCGGGAAACUGGGUCUAAUACUGGAUAUGACUCCAUGACGCAUGUUGUGGGGUGGAAAGCCUUGUGCGGCUGAGGAUGGGCCCGCGGCCUAUCAGCUUGUUGGUGGGGNGAUGGCCUACCAAGGCGACGACGGGUAGCCGGCCUGAGAGGGCGACCGGCCACACUGGGACUGAGACACGGCCCAGACUCCUACGGGAGGCAGCAGUGGGAAUCUUGCGCAAUGGGCGAAAGCCUGACGCAGCGACGCCGCGUGA
rnacentral:rRNA from 1 species